GGCGUACAAUGGCGAGUGAGGGCGGGCCAAUACGGUUAUAAAAUGAUAAAUAAUUAAAACUGAAAAUCCGCGUGUCGGCGGUUCGAUUCCGCCCCUGGCCACCA
rnacentral:tRNA from 1 species